ensembl:snRNA U6 U6 spliceosomal RNA
GUGAUUGUUUUGGUAGUACAUAUACUAAAAUUGGAAUGAUACAAAGAUGGCUAGCACAGCCCCUGCUCAAGGAUGACAUGCAAAUUUGUGAAGCGUUCCAUAUUUUU